GUCCAGUGUGGUGACUGGGCUGAGUCAACCAGGUUCUCCCUCAGGAAUGUGAACUAAGACACACUGAAAGAAUGGAGCAGAUAACAGAAAUCUGAAGCUGAGGGAACGUUCUGGGGCAGAGGAGCAACCAUGAUGCCCCAUUCUCAGGGAAAAGUUAUGAGGCAGGAGGAAUUGGAAAAAAACAACAGAGACCCAGAAUAAAGCCCAGAGAGCAGAGAAUUGGGAAAAAAAAUGAGCUAGCUGGAAGAGAGAUACAGACACACCAAAGAGGAAUUUAUUUAGCUAUGUUUCACUCAGAAGAUCCUGUUGACAGCCCGGAUGCACACCGCUGGGUGGAAGAGAAAGAAAAGAAAGUCAGAGUGAUACAACGUAAGAAGGACUCAACCUGCCAUUGCUGGUUUCCUAGAACAAUGAAGGGGCCAUGAGCUGAGGGAUGUGAGUGGUUUCUAGGAGCUGGAAAAGGCAAAGAAACGGAUUUUCUCCUAGAGCCUCCAUAAGGACUGCAGCCGUAUGGACACCUUGAUUGGAACACAGUGAGACCAACUUCAAAUGGACAUCUGACCACCAGAACUGGAAGAUAAUAAAUUUGUGUUGUCUUUA
rnacentral:lncRNA from 1 species